GCGGGCGCAGGAAAUUUGAGAGGAGCUGUCCUUAGUACGAGAGGACCGGGAUGGACGCACCGCUGGUGUACCAGUUGUUCUGCCAAGGGCAUCGCUGGGUAGCUAUGUGCGGACGGGAUAAGUGCUGAAAGCAUCUAAGCAUGAAGCCCCCCUCAAGAUGAGAUUUCCCAUUCCGCAAGGAAGUAAGAUCCCUGAAAGAUGAUCAGGUUGAUAGGUCUGAGGUGGAAGUGUGGCRACACAUGGAGCUGACAGAUACUAAUCGAUCGAGGACUUAACCAUAUUU
rnacentral:rRNA from 1 species